AGACGAAACAGCGGCGUCUGAAGGCUCACUGUCAUUCACAAGUGGCUCCAGUCUGGUUUGGGGGUUCUGCCAUCCAAGUAAAGUUAUUCACAAGUGGCUCCAGUCUGGUUUGGGGGUCUACGCUUUCUCAUCCUGUCCUGAGUGAUUCUUGACAUUGAAAUUAUAUCAAAAUUUGUCAAUAAAUGUUCAUACUUUUGUCAUUAA